rnacentral:rRNA from 1 species
AGUGAACGCUGGCGGUAGGCCUAACACAUGCAAGUCGAACGGCAGCACAGUAAGAGCUUGCUCUUACGGGUGGCGAGUGGCGGACGGGUGAGGAAUACAUCGGAAUCUACUUUUUCGUGGGGGAUAACGUAGGGAAACUUACGCUAAUACCGCAUACGACCUACGGGUGAAAGCAGGGGAUCUUCGGACCUUGCGCGAUUGAAUGAGCCGAUGUCGGAUUAGCUAGUUGGCGGGGUAAAGGCCCACCAAGGCGACGAUCCGUAGCUGGUCUGAGAGGAUGAUCAGCCACACUGGAACUGAGACACGGUCCAGACUCCUACGGAAGGCAGCAGUGGGGAAUAUUGGACAGUGGGCGCAAGCCUGAUCCAGCCAUACCGCGUGGGUGAAGAAGGCCUUCGGGUUGUAAAGCCCUUUUGUUGGGAAAGAAAAGCAGCAGGUUAAUACCCCGCUGUUCUGACGGUACCCAAAGAAUAAGCACCGGCUAACUUCGU